rnacentral:ncRNA from 1 species
UAAGGGUUCGCAUAACAGCGAUUAAAAGGGAAUGGGGUGAAAAUCUCCAACUGUCCCGCAGCAGUAAGUUCCUUUAUGCACCUCAAGCAAGAGAAUCCACUGUUUCCGAAAACAAUGAAAUGGGAAGGAGCAUGAGGUUGGAACAAAGUCUGAAGACCUGCCCAAAAUGAA